rfam:Magnetofaba australis IT-1 contig00019, whole genome shotgun sequence.
GUCCCGUUCGUCUAGAGGCCUAGGACACCGGCCUUUCACGCCGGUAACACGGGUUCGAAACCCGUACGGGACG